AUACAAAAAAAGAAGAAAAAAAAUCAGUGAAAUGGCCAACGGCACAAAAUGACGGCAAAUUACAUUCGUUUGUUCUAUCAUCAGCUGAAGAUAUGCGUCUGCUUCACUAACCCGUUUAUCCAGAGUUUGUAAAUAAUUUGGACGUCUA